rnacentral:tRNA from 1 species
GAUAGCUCAGUUGGUAGAGAAUGAGGCUCUUAAUCUCACGGUUGUGGGUUCGAGCCCCAUGUGGGGCA